AUAGGUAUGGCUCAGUGGUAGAGUGCGUGCUUAGCAUGCACAAGGUCCGGGGUUCAAUCCCCAGUACCUCCA
rnacentral:tRNA from 1 species